AGUGAACGCUGGCGGCAGGCCUAGCACAUGCAAGUCGAGCGGCAGCGCGGGGGCAACCCUGGCGGCGAGCGGCGGACGGGUGAGGAAUUCGUCGGAAUCUGCCUUUUUGUGGGGGAUAACGUAGGGAAACUUACGCUAAUACCGCAUACGGCCUACGGGAGAAAGUGGGGGACCGCAAGGCCUCACGCAGAAAGAUGAGCCGACGACCGAUUAGCUAGUUGGUGGGGUAAAGGCCCACCAAGGCGACGAUCGGUAGCUGGGCUGAGAGGGUGAUCAGCCACACUGGGACUGAGACACGGCCCAGACUCCUACGGGAGGCAGCAGUGGGGAAUAUUGGACAAUGGGCGCAAGCCUGAUCCAGCCAUGCCGCGUGUGUGAAGAAGGCCUUCGGGUUGUAAAGCACUUUUGUCCGGAAAGAAAUCCCUGGAGCUAAUACCUUCGGGGGAUGACGGUACCGGAAGAAUAAGCACCGGCUAACUACGUG
rnacentral:rRNA from 1 species